CUGACCUUGUGAUCCACCCGCCUCGGCCUCCCAAAGUGCUGGGAUUACAGGCGUGAGCCACCGUGCCCAGCCAGGUGUUCUUUUUAAUAUCCGAACAUGUCUGCAUCAUUCUUCUGCUUAUAAGUCUCUAAGGACUUCCCUUUAGGCCAAGUCCAAGUUCCUUAGUCUGACAUGGAGGGCCCACUCCCACUGGGGCUCUCUCAGCCCUGCCUGUAGAUGGCAAAUAUUUCUUUCAGAUCUUUAAAAUGUCAGAGUCUCAGUUAAUCUUUCCUCAAUCGGACAAGAGAAGGCCUCAGAGAAAGCCCUCUUCUGCCUGCAUCAGUGCAGAUUCUCUGCAGAUGCAAAUCUCCCCCACAAAAGACAGUUCUGCAGGGUGACUUCUAUUCAUUGGCUCUCUGAACAGCCACCUCAAAAUAUGCCAAAGAAGUAUAUUUCGGGGUGAAAUAUUUUUAUUUCCUUCAGUCCUCACUUUGAAACUUGAAAAAGUUUCACAUCUGAAAAGCUAAAUUGAUAGCUUUGCAGAGAUUUGGGUGAUAGGCUGCAGAGAUAAAGAUAGGCAAAGGAGUGGAAAAAAACAAAUUGGGAUAAGCAAAAACGGGCAAAUUUAAAUAUAUCAUUCCGUGUCUUCUUGAAUCAGUCUCUUAGUCCUAAGAAUAAAUCAGUUCAGUUAAACAGCUGUGUCCCAUUCAGGAGGUGGCAUUGCAGAUGGGCUAGGCCUUUAGAGAUGACGCAGGCAAACAGACAGAUCUUUAAUAAGAGGCACAAAAUGUAAAUUUUGACCAAGGACAUAUUAUUUUGUACAACGGGGCUGAUAGCAACCUUGCAAGGAGGUCACAUGUCAUUCUGUAACUGAAAGCUAAAGAAGGAGAAUCACAACAGCAUUGGCUGAGUCCCCUAAAUUUCCAGAAAGUUGAUUAUUUUUUAGGUCAGCAAGAGGAAGGGAAUAAUCCCGUGACCAGAGAACCUAAAGAGAAUACAAAUAAGAAUGAAGAAGGUUAUAAAACACAGAAAACUUAGCAAAGACCUCUAGUGUCCUCCAAAAGAGUUGCGUGGCUGGAUGAGGGCCUUAGCUAUCUCUUAAUUCUCUUUCAUUCCACCUAACCAGGGAACCACAAGUCCUGCAUGAUAGUGAAAUGAUUGAGCUGUACCUGGAAGGUGAACAGCAGUAGAUACUCUGGUGGAAGCAUCAGGGUGUAGACAGAGCUCUUACAAGGGUGGCCUGAGCCACAGAGAGUGUGUCGUGGGUUCUGGGAGUAUAGGGAGGACAGCCUUACCUUCCCAGCCUGCUUUGAAGUUGGCUUCCUCUGCCCCUAGGCUGGAAGCUUCUUGAUGGUAAGACUGUGUCAUGUUCACCAUUGUAGCCCCAGUCCCUAUCCCUGGGCCCAGCUCAUGGUAAACAUUGAAAACAUAUUUGCUGAAUGAAUCAAUGAACCAAUGAAUGAGUGAAUGGUCUCUCAGUCUGAUGGCCAUGGUCACUGCUAAUUCUUUCUUGGUCUCAUUGCAGGUGUUUCUAGGACUAUGGGCUUGUAACCUGCUGAGCUAGGUUUCACCUGCAGAUACAAAGAAGCUGGUUCACCUGCAGAUACAGAGAAACUGGGUGGAUGGGAGGGUAGAAUCACAGGGAUGGCCUGACUCUUUCAUGUAGCACUGGCUGGGACAGUUUGAGUACAGCUGAAAAAUAUCCUCCUUCACAGGGCUGGCAGGCAGUGCCACUGCCAUUGGGAGCUGAGUUAUGACUGUUAGCCAGUGGGCCCCAUUCUCCUUAUGAAGGCCUCUCCACAUAGCUGCUCGGGUUUCCCCACAACGUGGCAUCUGUUUGAAGAAGGAAGACUCCAAGAGGUGAAGAUGGAAACUAUACAUCUCUUAAUGCCUGGCCUCAAAAGUUACACAGUCUGCCAUUUUUCAAAGCCUGUCACAGGCCAGCCCAGAUUCAAUGGGAACAGAAAUAGCCUUCCAUCUCUUGAUGGGUAGAGUGGCAAAGAAUACACAGCCAUUUUCAAUCCACCAUAAGAACAUUUGAAGAAAAAGAUGAAAAUUUCAGGUGGGACAUGUUGAGUUUGAGGUACCUGAGUGACAUCAAUGUAGAGACAUCAAGAAGUAGGCAAGUCAGCGCACAGGUCUGGUGAUCAGAGGAGAGCACUAGCUUUGAUAGACAUUUGGUCACUUGGUAGACAUAAAUAGUAGUUAGAAUUAUGCGUUAUCCAAAGAGUGUGUGAAGAGAGUGAAUGGCAGGAGACAAGAUGCAAGCUUUUAGUACAAUAGAUAUUUAGAGGUCAAGUAGAGAAAAAGUCUUCAUGAAAUGAAGACUAGGAAGCAAGACCUAGAGAAACAGAAAGAAGACAGAAGAGAAAGUGGCCAUAGAAGCCCAGCAGAGAGUUGGAGGAGACACUGUUCAAUAAUUUCAAAUGUCAUAAAGAGGUCAAGUAGGCCAGGUGCAGUGGCUCACGCCUUAAUCUCAGCACUUUGGGAGGCGAAGGCAGGUGGAUCACUUGAGCCCAGGAGUUCCAGACCAGCCUAGGCAACAUGGCGAAAUCCUGUCUCUACAAAAAAUACAAAAUUUAGCCAUGUGUGGUGAUGUGUGCCUAUGGCACUAGCUACUAGGGAGGCUGAGAUGGGAGAAUCACCCGAGCCCCAGUAGGGCAAGGCUACAGUGAGCCGUCAUUGCACCACUGCACUCCAGCCUGGGCGACAGAGUGAGACUCUAUCUAAAUAAAUAAAUAGGUCAAGUAAUAUUAGAAACAUGAAAAUGUCGACUGGUCUUGGCAAUACAGAGGUCUUUGGUGAGCUUAUGAAGGCAUUUCUAAUGUAGGAAUGAGGAUAGAGUUUUAAAUUUUUUGUUCAAGGAUGCAAAUAUUGCUGAAUGAAGCAAAAGAUUUGUUGCCUGGAAUUUAAUAUCUUUACAACUCUUUGUUCUUUUAGAGUCAUUCGGAUUCCUUUCGGUUGCUCAAAUAUAACAUUGUAUCUGCUUCUAAAUUCAUGGGCAACAAUUGUCCUCUUCUGGUUCAAAGGCACAAUAUAAUCCCAGGAAUUUUUUUGGUAUGUGCUUUGAGAUAUAAUGACUCUUUUGACUGGGCUGUUGUGUAUGAUGUUUGCAUGACUUGGGGAUUAUUCAUAGGGUCAACAGAAGGCUACCAAAAUAGCUCAGCUUAAAUCACAACCUUGGGAUAACCCUUGACUUCAGGUCUUCUUAUAACUGCAGAUUUAACACUGUUGCAUUAUCUUUACUGUUACUCUAAUGAAUUUAAAAAUUGAAUACUCUGUUAAAACUGAGGUGGCCGGCCGGGCGCGGUGG
rnacentral:lncRNA from 1 species